UUCUCCUCCAACCACUCUAGCUGCUCCACAGCCACCUUUUCAUCCGCUGGGCCCUCUGGUUGCCCCAAGAGGAAAUCAUCAGAGUUCCCACAUAAAGUCACAGUGUCUAGGAGCAGGAGUCGGACUGACACAUUGGUGCUUGGGAUUGUGAACGACAGAUCAUAGUAUAAAUUAGGAUACUUCCUGCAAAGGAAAACAUCACAGGAGUUAGAGUAUUAAGAGUCUUAGGAAGUAAGUGUGUUCAAAAUCACAGCAGGUCUAACCGUCCCCUUGUUAGAGUAACAUACAAAGCUUCACCUGGGGUGCCAAAAAGGUAGAUCCCCAGAUGAUGUACAACUACAGCUUCUAUGAUGCUUUUUCAUUCUAAAGGCAUGCAAAGCAUCAUGUGAGUUGUAGUUCUACAACAUCUUGGGAUCUAUCUUUUGGGCACCCAUGAUCUACACUAUUCUAUUGGCUGUGUGCAUGCAUAGUGGUAAUGGUUGUGUCACUGUUAUCACAAUGUUGUCCUUUAUUCUUUUUGCACAGCUUCCAACACAACACAAACAUAGUUACACAAUGAGGAUAAUCCCAGUCAAUUAUAUUGUGACUGUGU